rnacentral:tRNA from 1 species
GGGCCCAUAGCUCAACGGUAGAGCAGUACCCUCUUAAGGUAUUUGUUGGAGGUUCGAAUCCUCCUGGGCUCA